rnacentral:rRNA from 1 species
ACGAACGCUGGCGGCGUGCUUAACACCUGCAAGUCGCACGGAAAGGCCCUGCUUGCAGGGUACUCGAGUGGCGAACGGGUGAGUAACACGUGGGUGAUCUGCCCUGCACUUCGGGAUAAGCCUGGGAAACUGGGUCUAAUACCGGAUAGGAGCCAUUUUUAGUGUGAUGGUUGGAAAGUUUUUUCGGUGUAGGAUGAGCUCGCGGCCUAUCAGCUUGUUGGUGGGGUAAUGGCCUACCAAGGCGGCGACGGGUAGCCGGCCUGAAAGGGUGGACGGCCACAUUGGGACUGAGAUACGGCCCAGACUCCUACGGGAGGCAGCAGUGGGGAAUAUUGCACAAUGGGCGCAAGCCUGAUGCAGCGACGCCGCGUGGGGGAUGACGGCCUUCGGGUUGUAAACUCCUUUCGCUAGGGACGAAGCUUUUUGUGACGGUACCUAGAUAAGAAGCACCGGCUAACUACGUG